rnacentral:lncRNA from 1 species
AGGUAUCUCAUAACAAAUAAUUAAGAGAUGUAUCCAUAGAAUUUCAUAGAAUUUUAAGAGAGGAGAGAGAAACAAAAAUAGAAUACUAAGUCUUAUCUAUUUAGAAAACUAAGUUACUUAGAAGUCUAAAUCAAAAAAGAUUUUUUAUAUUUAUGGGAUUUUAAAAUCUUAAAUUUUGAAUUAAAAAUUUAUUAAUAUAUCAACACCACCAACAAACUUUGCAGGCA